rnacentral:rRNA from 1 species
CCUACGGGAGGCAGCAGUCGAGAAUCAUGCACAAUGGGGGAAACCCUGAUGGGGCGACGCCGCGUGGGGGAAUGAAGGUCUUCGGAUUGUAAACCCCUGUCAUGUGGGAGCAAAUUAAAAAGAUAGUACCACAAGAGGAAGAGACGGCUAACUCUGUGCCAGCAGCCGCGGUAAUACAGAGGUCUCAAGCGUUGUUCGGAAUCACUGGGCGUAAAGCGUGCGUAGGCUGUUUCGUAAGUCGUGUGUGAAAGGCGCGGGCUCAACCCGCGGACGGCACAUGAUACUGCGAGACUAGAGUAAUGGAGGGGGAACCGGAAUUCUCGGUGUAGCAGUGAAAUGCGUAGAUAUCGAGAGGAACACUCGUGGCGAAGGCGGGUUCCUAGACAUUAACUGACGCUGAGGCACGAAGGCCAGGGGAGCGAAAGGGAUUAGAUACCCCUGUAGUC